CCCUUAGAUGUUCUGGGCCGCACGCGCGCUACACUGAGCCCUUCAUCGAGUUUACAACCUUGGCCGGUAGGUCUGGGUAAUCUUCUCAAAGGGGCUCGUGCUGGGGAUAGAUUAUUGUAAUUUUUAAUCUUCAACGAGGAAUUCCUAGUAAACGCAAGUCAACAGCUUGCAUUGAUUACGUCCCUGCCCUUUGUACACACCGCCCGUCGCUCCUACCGAUUGAAUGAUCCGAUGAAUAUCAUGGAUUGAGGAUGCAAGCAGGUUCGCCUGUCUUCAUCUUCGAGAAGUGAAGUAAAUCUUAUCAUUUAGAGGAAGGAGAAGUCGUAACA
rnacentral:rRNA from 1 species